rnacentral:lncRNA from 1 species
GUGUGUGUGUGUGCGUGUGUGCGUGUGUGCAGGUUUGGUAUUUGUUCCCAGAUCAUCGAUCUAGAGAAACAGAAAAUGAAAGAGGAGACAACACCUGAGCCCCUGCAACAUGUGGUGUGUGAAAGGUCUGCCUUUUCUGUAUUGCUUUUCCACUCCCAUCUGAAUGCAGAGGUCCUGCACGGACACGGAGAUGGGCUGCAGAGCCCUAACAGGUUUUGCAGUGGGCAUUGGCUCUGAAGAAGGGUGAGGACCACAGCUCCUGGGACAGCAUUUCUGGAAAAGUGACUUCUGCCAACCAGCACGGUAUGUCCCUGCUUUCCUGGCAUAAAGGAAUUCUCUGGAAUAUGUUUUGACUCCAUACUGUCAGCACAUCUAGAGCCAACAUUAAUUCAGAGGAAAAAAAAAAAGUCUAAUUAUUUCUCUGUGCAAUAAGCACAUUUUUCACUCUGCAAAAUAAAUCGCAGGCAAAUCAUGGGCAUUGCUAAAAUACUUACAGCUGCUUCCCAACCCAGCAGCUCAAUUAUGGUACCCAGAAAAACGUUCAAAGCUAUGGGAGUCCCACCUGCUGGACUGGCAAAGAGCUCACAUGUGCUGUCUUUCCCUUGAGUUUGAAACCUUGAAAAUGCCUUGUCAUGUAAGCAUCCACACUGAAAUAUUUACACGAUUAGGGCUUUCAUUAAAUGCUUCCAACCAAUGUGGCCCUUCCUGCAACUUCUCCCAGCGAGAGCACACUGCUAAGGGCCGCCACACGCCUCCCUGGUGGUCGGUCACCAUUUACUGAUCCUGACCUUGAGGAGAAGCACCAAGUGGCAGCCUCUAAUCAUGAAAGCCACAAGCCAAAGAACUCACACAAACACACCCAAGUCACACAGCCAGAGGGGGAGCCAGGAAUGCUCUCAAAGCAUGUGCAGACCGCCCAGCCAAAGUUAUAUACUAGCCAUCUACAACCAAAAGGCUUUUUUUUCCCUUUAGAAAUAUUGAUCUGCCAAAUGCACUCCUGCUGUAACUCAUCGACAUCAAUGGGCAGCAUUUCUGAAAAACCGCAAAAAUAA